rnacentral:lncRNA from 7 species
GAGAAAGAGUGAGAGGAGAAUGAGAGCACAGAGCUGCCAUCCCUUCCCUCGGGUUUCCUUUCUCUCUGCAGACAUGGGCUGGAAUGACAAGGAGGGGAUGUGCCACUGCCCCACAGCCUCACUGCCACAGCUCAUGGAUCCUCAACAAGAAGAGCCUCCAAGUACUUCACAAAUACAUAGACUUAGAGAAUGGCUUGGAUUGGAAGGGACCUGAAAGGCCAUUCAGACUCUACCCCCUGCCAUGGGCUGCUCGUCAUCCACCAGCUGAGGCUGCCCAGGGCUCCAUCCAGCCUGGCCUUGAACACCUCCAGGGAUGGGGCACACACACAGCUCUCUGGACAGCUGUGCCAGUGCCUCACCACCCUCUGAAUAAAGGAUUUCUAAC